rnacentral:sRNA from 1 species
CGGCCUGUGUUGCAGACCUAUUUAUGUGUACGACAUUAGAGUAAAGCUAGUUCCCUCUUAAAAGCCGUUAUCGUUUGAUUUCGCUUGUUAGAUGAACAUCUUCUUAGUGCCUCCAUAAGUAAACUCUGAGAAUCUGGCCGUAAUGCCUAUACCCUAUGAUGUAUGGCAGGUUAACUAAAUUAAAGGUAAGUUAAAGAUGUCCAAGAAAACUGGCAAAGUUAAAUGGUUCAAUGAAAGCAAAGGUUUUGGUUUUAUUGAGCAAGAUGAUGGUGGUAAAGACGUAUUCGUACAUUUUUCUGCAAUCAUGAGUGAAGGUUUCAAAACUCUGGCUGAAGGCCAGAAAGUGGAAUAUACCAUUCAGGAUAGCCCACGCGGUCCAGCCGCUGGUGACGUUGUUGCGCUGUAAUUAGCCACUUCGUUAUCACGAGAAGCCCGCAUCAUGAUGCGGGU